ACGUAAAACGACUCUCGGCAACGGAUAUCUCGGCUCUUGCAUCGAUGAAGAACGUAGCGAAAUGCGAUACUUGGUGUGAAUUGCAGAAUCCCGUGAACCAUCGAGUCUUUGAACGCAAGUUGCGCCCAAAGCCAUUAGGUUGAGGGCACGCCUGCCUGGGUGUCACAC
rnacentral:rRNA from 1 species